UACGUAGGUGGCAAGCGUUGUCCGGAUUUACUGGGCGUAAAGGAUGCGUAGGUGGAUAUUUAAGUCAGAUGUGAAAUACCCGAGCUUAACUUGGGUGCUGCAUUUGAAACUGGAUAUCUAGAGUGCAGGAGAGGUAAGUGGAAUUCCUAGUGUAGCGGUGAAGUGCGUAGAUAUUGGGAGGAACACCAGUGGCGAAGGCGGCUCGCUGGACCGGUUCUGACGCUGAUGCGCGAAAGCGUGGGGAGCAAACGGG
rnacentral:rRNA from 1 species